UUAAGCGACUAAGCGUACACGGUGGAUGCCCUGGCAGUCAGAGGCGAUGAAGGACGUGCUAAUCUGCGAUAAGCGUCGGUAAGGUGAUAUGAACCGUUAUAACCGGCGAUUUCCGAAUGGGGAAACCCAGUGUGUUUCGACACACUAUCAUUAACUGAAUCCAUAGGUUAAUGAGGCGAACCGGGGGAACUGAAACAUCUAAGUACCCCGAGGAAAAGAAAUCAACCGAGAUUCCCCCAGUAGCGGCGAGCGAACGGGGAGCAGCCCAGAGCCUGAAUCAGUGUGUGUGUUAGUGGAAGCGUCUGGAAAGGCGCGCGAUACAGGGUGACAGCCCCGUACACAAAAAUGCACAUGCUGUGAGCUCGAUGAGUAGGGCGGGACACGUGGUAUCCUGUCUGAAUAUGGGGGGACCAUCCUCCAAGGCUAAAUACUCCUGACUGACCGAUAGUGAACCAGUACCGUGAGGGAAAGGCGAAAAGAACCCCGGCGAGGGGAGUGAAAAAGAACCUGAAACCGUGUACGUACAAGCAGUGGGAGCACGCUUAGGCGUGUGACUGCGUACCUUUUGUAUAAUGGGUCAGCGACUUAUAUUCUGUAGCAAGGUUAACCGAAUAGGGGAGCCGAAGGGAAACCGAGUCUUAACUGGGCGUUAAGUUGCAGGGUAUAGACCCGAAACCCGGUGAUCUAGCCAUGGGCAGGUUGAAGGUUGGGUAACACUAACUGGAGGACCGAACCGACUAAUGUUGAAAAAUUAGCGGAUGACUUGUGGCUGGGGGUGAAAGGCCAAUCAAACCGGGAGAUAGCUGGUUCUCCCCGAAAGCUAUUUAGGUAGCGCCUCGUGAAUUCAUCUCCGGGGGUAGAGCACUGUUUCGGCAAGGGGGUCAUCCCGACUUACCAACCCGAUGCAAACUGCGAAUACCGGAGAAUGUUAUCACGGGAGACACACGGCGGGUGCUAACGUCCGUCGUGAAGAGGGAAACAACCCAGACCGCCAGCUAAGGUCCCAAAGUCAUGGUUAAGUGGGAAACGAUGUGGGAAGGCCCAGACAGCCAGGAUGUUGGCUUAGAAGCAGCCAUCAUUUAAAGAAAGCGUAAUAGCUCACUGGUCGAGUCGGCCUGCGCGGAAGAUGUAACGGGGCUAAACCAUGCACCGAAGCUGCGGCAGCGACGCUGAUGCGUUGUUGGGUAGGGGAGCGUUCUGUAAGCCUGCGAAGGUGUGCUGUGAGGCAUGCUGGAGGUAUCAGAAGUGCGAAUGCUGACAUAAGUAACGAUAAAGCGGGUGAAAAGCCCGCUCGCCGGAAGACCAAGGGUUCCUGUCCAACGUUAAUCGGGGCAGGGUGAGUCGACCCCUAAGGCGAGGCCGAAAGGCGUAGUCGAUGGGAAACAGGUUAAUAUUCCUGUACUUGGUGUUACUGCGAAGGGGGGACGGAGAAGGCUAUGUUGGCCGGGCGACGGUUGUCCCGGUUUAAGCGUGUAGGCUGGUUUUCCAGGCAAAUCCGGAAAAUCAAGGCUGAGGCGUGAUGACGAGGCACUACGGUGCUGAAGCAACAAAUGCCCUGCUUCCAGGAAAAGCCUCUAAGCAUCAGGUAACAUCAAAUCGUACCCCAAACCGACACAGGUGGUCAGGUAGAGAAUACCAAGGCGCUUGAGAGAACUCGGGUGAAGGCACUAGGCAAAAUGGUGCCGUAACUUCGGGAGAAGGCACGCUGAUAUGUAGGUGAAGUCCCUUGCGGAUGGAGCUGAAAUCAGUCGAAGAUACCAGCUGGCUGCAACUGUUUAUUAAAAACACAGCACUGUGCAAACACGAAAGUGGACGUAUACGGUGUGACGCCUGCCCGGUGCCGGAAGGUUAAUUGAUGGGGUCAGCGCAAGCGAAGCUCUUGAUCGAAGCCCCGGUAAACGGCGGCCGUAACUAUAACGGUCCUAAGGUAGCGAAAUUCCUUGUCGGGUAAGUUCCGACCUGCACGAAUGGCGUAAUGAUGGCCAGGCUGUCUCCACCCGAGACUCAGUGAAAUUGAACUCGCUGUGAAGAUGCAGUGUACCCGCGGCAAGACGGAAAGACCCCGUGAACCUUUACUAUAGCUUGACACUGAACAUUGAGCCUUGAUGUGUAGGAUAGGUGGGAGGCUUUGAAGUGUGGACGCCAGUCUGCAUGGAGCCGACCUUGAAAUACCACCCUUUAAUGUUUGAUGUUCUAACGUUGACCCGUAAUCCGGGUUGCGGACAGUGUCUGGUGGGUAGUUUGACUGGGGCGGUCUCCUCCUAAAGAGUAACGGAGGAGCACGAAGGUUGGCUAAUCCUGGUCGGACAUCAGGAGGUUAGUGCAAUGGCAUAAGCCAGCUUGACUGCGAGCGUGACGGCGCGAGCAGGUGCGAAAGCAGGUCAUAGUGAUCCGGUGGUUCUGAAUGGAAGGGCCAUCGCUCAACGGAUAAAAGGUACUCCGGGGAUAACAGGCUGAUACCGCCCAAGAGUUCAUAUCGACGGCGGUGUUUGGCACCUCGAUGUCGGCUCAUCACAUCCUGGGGCUGAAGUAGGUCCCAAGGGUAUGGCUGUUCGCCAUUUAAAGUGGUACGCGAGCUGGGUUUAGAACGUCGUGAGACAGUUCGGUCCCUAUCUGCCGUGGGCGCUGGAGAACUGAGGGGGGCUGCUCCUAGUACGAGAGGACCGGAGUGGACGCAUCACUGGUGUUCGGGUUGUCAUGCCAAUGGCACUGCCCGGUAGCUAAAUGCGGAAGAGAUAAGUGCUGAAAGCAUCUAAGCACGAAACUUGCCCCGAGAUGAGUUCUCCCUGACCCUUUAAGGGGCCUGAAGGAACGUUGAAGACGACGACGUUGAUAGGCCGGGUGUGUAAGCGCAGCGAUGCGUUGAGCUAACCGGUACUAAUGAACCGUGAGGCUUAACCUU
rnacentral:rRNA from 1 species